CGACCGUCCCCUAAGCUAGGGUUUCAGCCACCGCGUCGCCGGCGUGGCUCCGGCGGCUCAGAUCGAGCACGCCAAUGUCGCCGUCGUUUCGCUUGCGCUGGAACAGCAAAGGGAAGGCCAUGGACGACGCCGCUCCAGCCCUUCUCCGACGCCAUCAAGCAGUAGCAGCAACUCGAUGCAGGGACGAGGGAGAGGAGGAGUCCUGCUUCCCCGGCGUGCAUCCUCUCUCUCGGAACGACACCCAACCUCAAGCGAGAGAUGCAUGUGUGGGUGGCAGCAGAUCAACCUCCUUCUCAACC